UACGGAGGGUGCGAGCGUUGUCCGGAAUCACUGGGCGUAAAGGGCUCGUAGGCGGCCAACUAAGUCGGAUGUGAAAUCCCCAGGCUUAACCUGGGAACUGCAUCCGAUACUGGAUGGCUUGAAUCCGGGAGAGGGAUGCGGAAUUCCAGGUGUAGCGGUGAAAUUCGUAGAUAUUCGCAAGAACACCAGUGGCGAAGGCGGCUCACUGGCCCGAUACUGACGCUGAGGCACGAAAGCGUGGGGAGCAAACAGG
rnacentral:rRNA from 1 species